rnacentral:rRNA from 1 species
UACGGGGGGAGCAAGCGUUGUUCGGAUUUACUGGGCGUAAAGGGCGCGUAGGCGGCCACCGCAAGUCGGUUGUGAAAUCUCCGGGCUUAACCCGGAAAGGUCAAUCGAUACUGCGGGGCUAGAGUGCAGAAGGGGCAACUGGAAUUCUCGGUGUAGCGGUGAAAUGCGUAGAUAUCGAGAGGAACACCUGCGGCGAAGGCGGGUUGCUGGGCUGACACUGACGCUGAGGAGCGAAAGUGUGGGGAGCGAACAGG